UCCACCCAAAAAAAAUACUUGCCAGUAUUUUGAAGGAGAGGAAUUUGAAAUGGAAAUGGCUCCUUUCAGAUGUCAUGUUAAUGGAUGUUCAAAAACUUUUCCUUUAAGAAAAUGCUUGUUGCGGCAUGUACAAAUGUGCCAUGGAGCAAAUUCAGUGUCGGCUUCACCACAAUUUCAACAUGUACAAAGUAGGCCGGUUGUACACACAAUUCCACUUGUGCAGCCUUCUAUGGCUUUCAAACGGCCUACUUUGAAUGCUGAGGUGGUGAAACCGAGUAAAACUGUUUGCCUCCAACAAUCUUUAAGCUCUGUUGCAACAAAUGUUCAAAACUCCAGUGGAUUUCCAAGUGACGCUCACUAUAGAGCAAACUUGGCCCACUUGGAGAAGUUUGGCGUAGAUCGCCCAUAUUCAAGAAACCCAACUCUACUAUGUGACUGUCCAGAUAUGCGCCCAGCCGUUUUGAAUAUUGUUACGCACCAAGCAAGCCACAUCCUGAACCGCGGUGCCAAUUAUUUUUGGUGUAGCCGAAAAGCAAUUAAAAAGGUGGGCGAAAAAGUAUCAGAUCUUUCCCCACAACUGCUGGCUGAAUACAAGAAGAAAUGUAAUUUUUUCGUUUUCGAAGAAGACCCAAAAAAACAAAACAAUUAAAGUAGAAUAAUUUUUUAUGUGAUUUAACUUUUUUGUUUGUUUUUGUUUGUUCAUCACAUUAUAAUUCACCAAUUCUUUGUUUAGUUUUGUCGUUGUCCUCUCUACACCGUAAACGUGUAGGAAAUAUAUGAUUUUCUGAACGUGA